GUAAUUGGGAAUGAAGUUCUCCCUCGGAAUAAACCGAAACCGCGUAAAGCUGAUGACUUCUGCAA
rnacentral:ncRNA from 1 species